rnacentral:rRNA from 1 species
AUUGAACGCUGGCGGCAUGCCUUACACAUGCAAGUCGAACGGCAGCACGGGAGCAAUCCUGGUGGCGAGUGGCGAACGGGUGAGUAAUAUAUCGGAACGUGCCCAGUCGUGGGGGAUAACGUAGCGAAAGCUACGCUAAUACCGCAUACGAUCUAUGGAUGAAAGCGGGGGAUCGCAAGACCUCGCGCGAUUGGAGCGGCCGAUAUCAGAUUAGGUAGUUGGUGAGGUAAAGGCUCACCAAGCCGACGAUCUGUAGCUGGUCUGAGAGGACGACCAGCCACACUGGGACUGAGACACGGCCCAGACUCCUACGGGAGGCAGCAGUGGGGAAUUUUUGGACAAUGGGCGCAAGCCUGAUCCAGCAAUGCCGCGUGCAGGAUGAAGGCCUUCGGGUUGUAACGUUAGA